GGUGUUUAACUCAGCUGAGGAAAGACAAGACAAAUGGAAGAUAUCAUAACGGUUACUGAGCUUGUUUCAUAUUGCAGACUGACCGUCUCCAAAGCCUCACCAAUGAGGAUGAAGCAGGCAGCGAUGAGGUACGUGAGCAGUGAAGUCCCAGCCGUAUCCACAAGCCAAGCCGACGCAGUCCUCAGGAGGUGUGGACAAAGACAGAGUGUCGUUCAAUACACCAGACGCAUCCCUCACAACGCAAGAUCCUGCGAGGAAACAGGCACACACUCAACUUGAAUCAAACUGCCGUACCUUCAGAUCUCCUGAGAUGUUUGCUCCUGCCAGGAUCCCAGUGGCAGAGGGGAAGAAG